rnacentral:rRNA from 1 species
CCUACGGGAGGCAGCAGUGGGGAAUCUUCCGCAAUGGACGAAAGUCUGACGGAGCAACGCCGCGUGUAUGACGAAGGCCUUCGGGUUGUAAAGUACUGUUUUCAGGGACGAACGGCAGGUGUGAGAAUAUUGCAUCUGCAUGACGGUACCUGAGGUGGAAGCCCCGGCUAACUACGUGCCAGCAGCCGCGGUAAU